rnacentral:rRNA from 2 species
GGUUAAGCGACUAAGCGUACACGGUGGAUGCCCUGGCAGUCAGAGGCGAUGAAGGACGUGCUAAUCUGCGAUAAGCGUCGGUGAGGUGAUAUGAACCGUUAUAACCGGCGAUUUCCGAAUGGGGAAACCCAGUGUGUUUCGACACACUAUCAUUAACUGAAUCCAUAGGUUAAUGAGGCGAACCGGGGGAACUGAAACAUCUAAGUACCCCGAGGAAAAGAAAUCAACCGAGAUUCCCCCAGUAGCGGCGAGCGAACGGGGAGGAGCCCAGAGCCUGAAUCAGUGUGUGUGUUAGUGGAAGCGUCUGGAAAGGCGCGCGAUACAGGGUGACAGCCCCGUACACAAAAAUGCACAUAUUGUGAGCUCGAUGAGUAGGGCGGGACACGUGGUAUCCUGUCUGAAUAUGGGGGGACCAUCCUCCAAGGCUAAAUACUCCUGACUGACCGAUAGUGAACCAGUACCGUGAGGGAAAGGCGAAAAGAACCCCGGCGAGGGGAGUGAAAAAGAACCUGAAACCGUGUACGUACAAGCAGUGGGAGCCUCUUUAUGGGGUGACUGCGUACCUUUUGUAUAAUGGGUCAGCGACUUAUAUUCUGUAGCAAGGUUAACCGAAUAGGGGAGCCGAAGGGAAACCGAGUCUUAACUGGGCGUUAAGUUGCAGGGUAUAGACCCGAAACCCGGUGAUCUAGCCAUGGGCAGGUUGAAGGUUGGGUAACACUAACUGGAGGACCGAACCGACUAAUGUUGAAAAAUUAGCGGAUGACUUGUGGCUGGGGGUGAAAGGCCAAUCAAACCGGGAGAUAGCUGGUUCUCCCCGAAAGCUAUUUAGGUAGCGCCUCGUGAAUUCAUCUCCGGGGGUAGAGCACUGUUUCGGCAAGGGGGUCAUCCCGACUUACCAACCCGAUGCAAACUGCGAAUACCGGAGAAUGUUAUCACGGGAGACACACGGCGGGUGCUAACGUCCGUCGUGAAGAGGGAAACAACCCAGACCGCCAGCUAAGGUCCCAAAGUCAUGGUUAAGUGGGAAACGAUGUGGGAAGGCCCAGACAGCCAGGAUGUUGGCUUAGAAGCAGCCAUCAUUUAAAGAAAGCGUAAUAGCUCACUGGUCGAGUCGGCCUGCGCGGAAGAUGUAACGGGGCUAAACCAUGCACCGAAGCUGCGGCAGCGACACUAUGUGUUGUUGGGUAGGGGAGCGUUCUGUAAGCCUGUGAAGGUGGCCUGUGAGGGUUGCUGGAGGUAUCAGAAGUGCGAAUGCUGACAUAAGUAACGAUAAAGCGGGUGAAAAGCCCGCUCGCCGGAAGACCAAGGGUUCCUGUCCAACGUUAAUCGGGGCAGGGUGAGUCGACCCCUAAGGCGAGGCCGAAAGGCGUAGUCGAUGGGAAACAGGUUAAUAUUCCUGUACUUGGUGUUACUGCGAAGGGGGGACGGAGAAGGCUAUGUUGGCCGGGCGACGGUUGUCCCGGUUUAAGCGUGUAGGCUGGUUUUCCAGGCAAAUCCGGAAAACCAAGGCUGAGGCGUGAUGACGAGGCACUACGGUGCUGAAGCGACAAAUGCCCUGCUUCCAGGAAAAGCCUCUAAGCAUCAGGUAACAUCAAAUCGUACCCCAAACCGACACAGGUGGUCAGGUAGAGAAUACCAAGGCGCUUGAGAGAACUCGGGUGAAGGAACUAGGCAAAAUGGUGCCGUAACUUCGGGAGAAGGCACGCUGAUAUGUAGGUGAAGCGACUUGCUCGUGGAGCUGAAAUCAGUCGAAGAUACCAGCUGGCUGCAACUGUUUAUUAAAAACACAGCACUGUGCAAACACGAAAGUGGACGUAUACGGUGUGACGCCUGCCCGGUGCCGGAAGGUUAAUUGAUGGGGUUAGCGGUAACGCGAAGCUCUUGAUCGAAGCCCCGGUAAACGGCGGCCGUAACUAUAACGGUCCUAAGGUAGCGAAAUUCCUUGUCGGGUAAGUUCCGACCUGCACGAAUGGCGUAAUGAUGGCCAGGCUGUCUCCACCCGAGACUCAGUGAAAUUGAACUCGCUGUGAAGAUGCAGUGUACCCGCGGCAAGACGGAAAGACCCCGUGAACCUUUACUAUAGCUUGACACUGAACAUUGAGCCUUGAUGUGUAGGAUAGGUGGGAGGCUUUGAAGUGUGGACGCCAGUCUGCAUGGAGCCGACCUUGAAAUACCACCCUUUAAUGUUUGAUGUUCUAACGUUGGCCCGUAAUCCGGGUUGCGGACAGUGUCUGGUGGGUAGUUUGACUGGGGCGGUCUCCUCCUAAAGAGUAACGGAGGAGCACGAAGGUUGGCUAAUCCUGGUCGGACAUCAGGAGGUUAGUGCAAUGGCAUAAGCCAGCUUGACUGCGAGCGUGACGGCGCGAGCAGGUGCGAAAGCAGGUCAUAGUGAUCCGGUGGUUCUGAAUGGAAGGGCCAUCGCUCAACGGAUAAAAGGUACUCCGGGGAUAACAGGCUGAUACCGCCCAAGAGUUCAUAUCGACGGCGGUGUUUGGCACCUCGAUGUCGGCUCAUCACAUCCUGGGGCUGAAGUAGGUCCCAAGGGUAUGGCUGUUCGCCAUUUAAAGUGGUACGCGAGCUGGGUUUAGAACGUCGUGAGACAGUUCGGUCCCUAUCUGCCGUGGGCGCUGGAGAACUGAGGGGGGCUGCUCCUAGUACGAGAGGACCGGAGUGGACGCAUCACUGGUAUUCGGGUUGUCAUGCCAAUGGCACUGCCCGGUAGCUAAAUGCGGAAGAGAUAAGUGCUGAAAGCAUCUAAGCACGAAACUUGCCCCGAGAUGAGUUCUCCCUGACUCCUUGAGAGUCCUGAAGGAACGUUGAAGACGACGACGUUGAUAGGCCGGGUGUGUAAGCGCAGCGAUGCGUUGAGCUAACCGGUACUAAUGAACCGUGAGGCUUAACCUU